AUUGAACGCUGGCGGCAGGCCUAACACAUGCAAGUCGGGCGGAGCGGCGGACGGGUGAGUAAUUCCUAGGCAUCUGCCUGGUAGUGGGGUCUAAAGUCCGGAAACGGUCGCUAAUACUGCGUACUAUCAGAUGAGCCUAGGUUGGAUUAGCUAGUUGGUGUGGUAAAGGCCUACCAAGGCGACGAUCCGUAACUGGUCUGAGAGGCUGAUCAGUCACACUGGAACUGAGACACGGUCCAGACUCCUACGGGAGGCAGCAGUGGGGAAUAUUGGACAAUGGGCGAAAGCCUGAUCCAGCCAUGCCGCGUGUGUGAAGAUGGUCUUCGGAUUGUAAAGCACUUUAAGUUGGGAGGCGUUACCAACAGAAUAAGCACCGGCUAACUUCGUGCCAGCAGCCGCGGUAAUUC
rnacentral:rRNA from 1 species